rnacentral:lncRNA from 1 species
CCACUAGCUCCUCGACUUUCUUCCGCACAACUCAUGAGAGAUGCAUGCAGGUCUGGCUCCCUCUCCCUCCUGGAAUGUGCCGUUGGUGCCAUGUAUCUUGGCGUUUGUUCACAUAUAAUCCGAUCUUGAAUGAGCCUCAAGGUCGAAUCUGCGUUAUUACUGCAUUAUCAUUGUCGAGCUCCAGAUGGGUACCAAAUAAACAGAAGAAACAUUGGUAAUUUGGCAAUUAACAUGGUUCAGUUAUCCCUGACCUUAGAAAUCAGAUAACGCCGCAACCAUGGCAGCUCCCGGGGCCCUCGGCCCGCGCCUGCCGAGAGUGAAGAGGAAGAGGGGGGAGGAGGCCGCCGCUGUUCGCCCAGACAUACUAGAUCACAAGCUUCUGCGGGAUCGAACCGGGGUUGGAAAUUAGAACGAAGCGAGAAAUUGACCUCUCGCCCACUGCACCGAGCAAGCGAGGAGUCCCUAGUGCUAAAUGGGAGUGCACCUGGAAGGAGAAGGUGACGACGGCCGAUGAAGCCGGGGCGGCGGCGGCGCACGGGGAGGGGGUAGAAGAUGCCGGUACACGACGCCGGCACAGGGAAAAUUUUCUCGGUGAAAGAAAAAAGAGAGAAAUC